rnacentral:rRNA from 1 species
GACGAACGCUGGCGGCGUGCUUAACACAUGCAAAUCGAACGAUGAACCGGAGCUUGCUCUGGGGAUUAGUGGCGAACGGGUGAGUAACACGUGGGCAACCUGCCCCAGACACCGGGAUAACCAUUCGAAAGGAUGGCUAAUACCGGCUACGACCACUUCGGGCAUCCGAUGGUGGUGGAAAGGAUUCUGGUCUGGGAUGGGCCCGCGGCCUAUCAGCUUGUUGGUGGGGUAAUGGCCUACCAAGGCGACGACGGGUAGCCGGCCUGGGAGGGCGUCUGGUCACACGGGGACUGAGACACGGCCCAGACUCCUACGGGAGGCAGCGGUGGGGAAUAUUGCGCAAUGGGCGAAAGCCUGACGCAGCGACGCCGCGUGAGGGACGAAGGUCUUCGGAUUGUAAACCUCUUUCAGCAGGGAUGAAGCGAAAGUGACAGUACCUGCAGAAGAAGCGCCGGCUAACUACGUGCCAGCCGCCGCGGUAAAAC